GAUGAACGCUAGCGACAGGCUUAACACAUGCAAUUCGAGGGGCAGCGGGGUUGUAGCAAUACAACUGCCGGCGACCGGCGCACGGGUGAGUAACACGUAUGUAACCUGCCCUCUGCAGGGGGAUAAGCGGAAGAAAUUCCGUCUAAUACCGCAUAAUACAAUUUGGAGACAUCUCCGGGUUGUCAAAGGAGUGAUCCGGCAGAGGAUGGACAUGCGGCGCAUUAGCUAGUCGGCGGGGUAACGGCCCACCGAGGCUACGAUGCGUAGGGGUUCUGAGAGGAAGGUCCCCCACACUGGUACUGAGACACGGACCAGACUCCUACGGGAGGCAGCAGUGAGGAAUAUUGGUCAAUGGGCGGAAGCCUGAACCAGCCAAGUCGCGUGAGGGAAGACGGUCCUAUGGAUUGUAAACCUCUUUUGCAGGGGAGCAAGGCGCGGUACGUGUACCGCGAAGGAGAGUACCCUGAGAAAAAGCAUCGGCUAACUCCGUGCCAGCAGCCGCGGUAAUACGGAGGAUGCGAGCGUUAUCCGGAUUUAUUGGGUUUAAAGGGUGCGCAGGCGGACUGUUAAGUCAGCGGUAAAAUGUCGGUGCUCAACACCGGCCGGCCGUUGAAAACUGGCAGCCUUGAGUGAGCGAGAAGUAUGCGGAAUGCGUGGUGUAGCGGUGAAAUGCAUAGAUAUCACGCAGAACUCCGAUUGCGAAGGCAGCAUACCGGCGCUCAACUGACGCUCAGGCACGAAAGCGUGGGUAUCGAACAGGCUUAGAUACCCUGGUAGUCCACGCAGUAAACGAUGAAUGCUCACUGUCCGGGCCGUUUAAGGCCUGGGUGGUCAAGCGAAAGCGUUAAGCAUUCCACCUGGGGAGUACGCCGGCAACGGUGAAACUCAAAGGAAUUGACGGGGGCCCGCACAAGCGGAGGAACAUGUGGUUUAAUUCGAUGAUACGCGAGGAACCUUACCCGGGCUCAAACGGAAGGGGACAGUAUGAGAAAUCAUACAUUCCUUCGGGACCGCUUCCGAGGUGCUGCAUGGUUGUCGUCAGCUCGUGCCGUGAGGUGUCGGCUUAAGUGCCAUAACGAGCGCAACCCCUAUCGACAGUUGCUAGCAGGUAAAGCUGAGGACUCUGUCGAGACUGCCGGCGCAAGCUGUGAGGAAGGCGGGGAUGACGUCAAAUCAGCACGGCCCUUACGUCCGGGGCGACACACGUGUUACAAUGGCAGGUACAGCGGGAGGCCACCCGGCGACGGGGCGCAGAACCCGAAAACCUGUCUCAGUUCGGAUUGGAGUCUGCAACCCGACUCCAUGAAGCUGGAUUAGCUAGUAAUCGCGCAUCAGCCACGGCGCGGUGA
rnacentral:rRNA from 1 species